AACAGGGUCUCCCUCUUACCUGGGCUAGAGUGCAGUCGUGUGAUCAUGGCUCAGUGUAGCCUUGACCUCCUGGGGCUUAAGGGAUCUUCCCACCUCAGGCUGUCAAGUAGCUGAGACUACAGGCACGUGCUACCAUGCCUGGUUAUUUUUUAAAUUUUUUUAUAGAGAGGGAGCUCCCUAUGUUGCUCAGGCUGAUCUCAAACUUCUGGGGUCAAGCGAUCCUCCUGCCUUGGCCUCCCAAAGUGUUGGGAUUAUAGGUGUGAGCCACUGUGCUCGGUGCCACCCCACCUUUAAUUAAUAAAUAAAUUAAUUAAUUUUUCGAGACGGGGUUUCCCUGUGUUGCCCAGGCUGGAGUACAGUGGCGUGAUCUUGGCUCGCUGCAACCUCCGCCUCCUGGGUUCAAGCAAUUCUCCUACCUCAGCCUCCUGAGUAGCUGGGACUAUAGGCACAUGCCACCACACCCAGCUAAUUUUUGUAUUUUUAGUAGAGACGGGGUUUCGCCAUGUUGCCCAGGCUCGUCUCGAACUCCUGACCUCAGAUGAUCUGCCUGCCUUGGUCUCCCAAAGUGCUGGGAUUAUAGGCGUCAGCCACUGUGCCCACCCCCCAUCCCAAACUUUAAAAGAAUUUUUGUAAACAUAGAGAUAUGGUCUCACACUGUUGUCCAGGCUGGCCUCGAACUCCUGGGUUCAAGCAAUCCUCCUGCCAUGGCCUCCCAAACUUCUGGGUUUACAAGUGUGAGCCACUGCACCUCUCAUCUAGUAGGUGUUUUGAGGUUUUUCUACAUCAUAGGACUAAAUAAUGGGCAAUAGUUCUUCCAGUAAGGUUUCCCUGAGGUGUGAUAAAGCAAGAAAACUAAGCUAGCUGAUAUUUAAGAUUCCUACCUAGUUAAAUUUCUUUAAGCAUUUUAUUCAAUAUCUUUUAUUAUUUUAUUUUGUUUUUUUGAGACAAGGUCUCACUCUGUCACCCAGGCUGGAGUGCAGUGGCAGGCUGAAGUGCUCACUGCAGCCUCCACCUCCCAGCUCAAGCAGUCCUCCAUCAACCUCCUGAGUAGCUGGGACCAUAGGCACGUGCCACCACACUUGUCUAAUUUUUUGUAUUUUUGGUGGAGACAGGAUUUCUCCAUGUUGCCCAGGAUGGUCCCAAACUCCUGAGCUCAAGCCACCUGCCUGCCUGAGCCUCCCACAGUGCUGGGAUUACAGGCAUGAGCCUCUGUGCUUGGCCAAUAUCUUUUUUUUUUUUUUAGAUGGAGUCUCGCUCUGUCCCCCAGGCUGGAGUGCAGUGGCAUGGUCUCAGCUUAUCACAACCUCCACCUCCUGGGUUCAACCGAUUCCCUUGCCUCAGCCUCCCGAGUAACUGGGAUUACAGGCAUGCACCACCACGCCUGGCUAAUUUUAAUUCUCUAUUUUUUUUUUUUUUUUUAGUAGAGACAGGGUUUCACCAUGUUGGCCAGGAUGGUCUCGAUCUCUUGACCUCAUGAUCUUCCCGCCUCGGCCUCCCAAAGUGCUAGGAUUACAGGUGUGAUCCACCAUGCCCAGCCGAAUAUUAUUUUUUGUUAUACAUUUUGGUUAAGUGAUUGACCUGGUGAGUUAUAAUUAUUAUAAAUUUAAAAAUGUCAUCCAGUAGUAUUUGCCUAUUUGGAAUUAAUAGCCUUACUUUCUCAGUGAGUUUUGCCUUUUAUAAUGUUAAGUGCUCUUUAUAUGCUUUGAAAUGCUUUGUACUUUGAAAUAUUAUAGAGGUCCUAUUAGUAUAUUUUGGGCAUUUAAUUGGAUGAAGAAAUGAUUUCAUUUUCAUGGCUAUAACUCAAUUAUGUUACAGAAUUUGUUUCUUUCAGUAUAGUGAAAUCAUGAAUUCAGGUAGUAGGCUAGAAUUCUUGUUUGAGUAAUCUCAAAAUAUCUUUAUUCCUUUUUUUCUCCCUAAUUGGUGGAAGUGGUAACAAGUUUCUCUUCAGCACCCCUGACUUAGUACCCUCAUGAUUGCAGGCUUAGUCUAACAGCAGUGAGUUGACAAAGUUCAGGAAAAAAAAUUUAAGUAGAAUGCAGACUUUUUCGUCUGCCCAUUGUUAAAAAAAAAGUCAGAGGUUUCUUUUAUGAAUGCUAAUUCUUGAGGCAUUAUUGACUGAUAUUGAAACUUAAAAACACAUCAGCCAAUAAUGAAAUGGUACUGCUUUUACUUUCACUUUCCUUCCAGGUGAGUUGUACCUUGCUUCACAGGUAGGUUGUUUAAUUGGUAGUUAAUACCAAUUAAUUAAUUGGUAGUAUUUAAGCACAAUUAAGAUGUUACUUCUCUGUACUUUAGAUUUAGUGUUAUAGCUGUAAUGUUCUAAGAGCUCUAAAAUUAUGUCCUAGAUAUUCUAAUUGUGUUUAAAUGACUUUGCUGUAGUAGUAGUACCCAUUUUAAUGGGUACAGUUUUGCUUUGCUAUGUUCUAGAGUCUUUUUACAAGAUUAUGAGAUAUCCAUAAAUAAUUCUAAAAUGAAACCAAAAGAAAAUCUAAGAUAAUUUUUUUCUUUUUUUUUUUUUUGAGACGGAGUCUCCCUCUGUUUCCAGGCUGGAGUGCAGUGGCAUGAUCUCAGCUCUCUGCAACCUCCGCCUCCCAGGUUCAAGCAAUUCUCCUGCCUCAGCCUCCCAAGUCGCUGGGACCACAGGCACAUGCCGCCACGCCUGGCUAAUUUUUUGUGUUUUAGAAGAGACAGGGUUUCACCAUGUUGCCCAGGCUGGUCUCGAACUCCUGAGCUCACACAAUCUGCCCUCCUCGGCCUCCCAAAGUGGUAGGAUUACAGGAGUGAGCCACUGUGCUGGAGUCUCGCUCUGUCACCCAGGCUGGAGUGCAGUGGCGCGAUCCUGGCUCACUGCAACUUCCACCUCCUAGGUUCAAGCGAUUCUCCUGCCUCAGCCUCCUGAGUAGCUGGGACUACAUGCACCUGCCACCACACUCGACUAAUUUUUGUAUUUUUAGCAGAGACAGGGUUUCACCAUGUUGGCCAGGCUGGUUUCCUGACCUCAAGUGAUCCGCCCGCCUUGCCCUCCCAAAGUGCUGAGAUUACAGACGUGAGCCACUGCAUCCAGCCAAGAAAAUCUAAGAUAAUUCUGAGGCCAAUUUUUAUUAAAAUUGGACAGAAUGCUGGAGGAGAUAUAAAACCCAGCAGUUUUUCUGGGGUCUUCUUCAUGAUCAUUCUUUUAAAGAUUUUGUCCAUGUGUUAUAUAUAAUUUUGUAUGACUGCACAAGGGCAAAGUUAAAAUGAAUGUUCUGUAUGUUUGUCAAGACUAUUUUCCUUUUUAAUUUGGCUAAUGAUUAAUAGAAUUUGGCAUUGAAAUUCUUGCCUUUCCUAUGUUAGGCUUUGGCACUUUUUUUCUCAUGAAAAUAUCAUUUUACAUUAACAUAAUAAAUCCCACAUAUGAUCCUUUUUUUUGAGACAGGGUCUUUCCCUGUCACCCAGGCUGGAGUGUCAUGGUGCAGUCAUAGCUCACUGCAGCCUCGCUAUCUCCCACCUCAGCCUCCCAAGUCGCUGAGACCACAGGUAUGCACCACCACACCUGGCUAAUUUAAAAAAAUUUUUUUUUUUUUGUAGAGACUUGGUUUCAUUAUGUUGGCCAGGCUGGUCUUGAUAUCUUGGGCUCAAGUGAUCCUCCCACUUUGGCCUCCCAAAGUGCUGAGAUUACAGGCAUGAGCCACCACAUCUGGCCUAUAUGAUCUUAAUUGAUCCUAACAGUACCUAUAUUAUAUAAAUGCCUAUAUUUUGAAGAUGGUAAAACAAAGGGAUUAAAGGGCUUGCCCAAUAUAACAUGGAAAGUGAGUGAUAGAGUCAGGUUCUUUUCUUCUUCUUCAUACUGUACUUUUCACAAUUAUGUAAUAUCCACCCAUAUUUACAUUUAGCACUUGUUUUUGAAGUGUAUAGUAUACAUGUUAGCCGCUCAAUAUUUACCAAGUCAAAUCCAAACGAGAGAGGGACCCAAAAGAGGAAAUAAAAUAAACAGUUCUGUGGUGAAGGCUUGCCUUCAUGGACGUGUUUGAGAGACAUUUUAACUUCACUGUAACAUACAAAGUGGAUAAUUAUAAUUUGAAAGGCAGCAUAGUCCAAUAUUUCAGAGCGUGGACUCUGGAGCUAGAGCACUGUCAUUUGCACAUUCUGCAAUCUUGGGCAAGUUACCUGGCAUCUCUGUGCUUCAGUUUUCCCAUCUGUAAAAUGGGCAUAACAAUAGUUCUGUAACUCUGAGGUAAAUGUGAAUCAUAUAGUGAAUUCAUAUGUGUAAAAGCACUUAAUAACAGUGUCUGGCACAUUGUAAGUAUUUAGUAAAUGUUAGUUAGCUUUUAUUAAUAGAUUGCCUGCCUGACCUUUCUGAAAGACAUUUGAAUGAGAAUUUCUCUUUCUGUCUUUUUAUGAUUUUAUAAAUUUUUAUGUUAAACUUCUUAAACUUUAGUAGCUUGGCUGAGGCUGGCGGAUCACCUGAGGUUGGGAAUUCGAGACCAGCCUGACCAAUAUGGAGAAACGCUGUCUCUACUAAAAAUACAAAAUUAGCCGGGCGUAGUGGCGCAUGCCUGUAAUCCCAGCUACUCAGGAGGCUGAGGCAGGAGAAUGGCUUGAACCCGGGAGGCAGAGGUUGCGGUGAGCCGAGAUUGCGCCAUUGCACUCCAGCCUGGGUGACAGAGCGAAACUCCGUCUCAAAAAAAUUAAAAAAAAAAUAAAAUUUAUUUUUUAGGAUAAUACAAAGCAAAAAUUAAUAAAAUGAAGGAAAUAUAAAAAAGUCAAUAAAAAUGAAAAAAUGGAAAAGAAGAAAAAAGUUCUCUUAAUAUUAGAAUUUUUUAGGCAUUAAUGAAUUUUAUUUAUGAUGUAUAAUGCUUGACUCAAAAAUUGACUGGCUUUUUUGGUUGGUUUUAUAAUAUUAAAUUAGUAAUAUAAAAAACAUUCAACUGGGCGUGGUGGCUCAUGCCUGUAAUCCCAGCGGUUUGGGAGGCUGAGGUGGGCAGAUCACCUGACAUCAGGAGCCUGAGGCCAGCCUGGCCAACGUGGCAAAACCCCGUCUCUACUAAAAAUACAAAAAUUAGCCGGGUGUGGUGGCAGGCUCCUGUAAUCCCAGCUAUGUGGGAGGCUGAGGCAGGGAGAAUUGCUUGAACCUAGGAGGCGGAGGUUGCAGUGAGCUCAGAUUGCACCACUACACUCCAGCCUGGGCAGCAGAGCGAGAAUCCAUCUCAAAAACAAAACAAAAAAAAACACUCCAUAAAAUCAAGGACUGACGUACUUUAGAGAUUCUUCUGGACAGUGAUGUCUCACGUAUGUUGCCGAAAGGAAGGCAAUUUUUUUUUAUUUUUAUAACAAAGCAUAAGAGUUGGCAUAGAUUUUGUUCUCAUUACUUACUGUUUAUAUCUGUAAAAGGGGACAAGUACCUCUCUAGUGUGCAAUGAUAUUGCAGGAGAGAAUGUACUAAUUUAUAAGACAUGUAGUAGUGUGACAGGCAUUGGCGAACUAUGGCUUGUGGGCCAGAUUAAGCCUAUGACUAGUUUUUCUACAGCCUGUCACCUAAGAAUGGUUUUUACUUUUUUAAAUGGUUGAAAAAUAGUCAAAAGUAGAAUGUUUUGGGAAGCAUGAAAAUGAUUUGAAGUUCAAAUUUCAGUGUUCAUAAAUAACAUUUUAUUACAGUCACCCUCAUUUGUUUACAUAUUGUCUGUGGCAGCUUUUGUGUUAUGUUAGCAGAGUUGAGUAGUUUCAGCAAAGACCAAAUGGUCUGCAGAGACUGAAAUAUGUAUUGUAUGGCCCUUUACAGAAAAAGUUUGCUGACCUCUACUUUAUGACAUUCUCAAAAGAAUGGCUUAAAUUCAGCUUUAUGUAAUUGAUGUAUUUCUAAAAAGGCAAUAAUUAAAAUAUGUGAUGAAAUCAUAUUUUCAGCUUGAUUUUGGUUAUAUUUUCAGUGAUACAUUCCCAUGGAAUUCACAUGAGAAAUUUUGGUCAUAUUUUUUGAUAACAUUGAUGUAAAGCAGAGAUACUUGUUGGUCAGAUGUGUUGUGUAAUAUUUAGUUCCCUCAAGUGGGUUUUCAAAAACAAUUAAACUGAAAACCUUUUCCUGUGAGUUGCAUAAAGUUACAAAAAAUACCCUGACAUUUUUAGUACCUACAUUUAAACAUGUUUAAUUUCAUUAGAAUUUCUAAAGGAUCCUUGGGUUUAUUUAUUUAUUCAUUUAUUUUUUGAGGCAGGGUCUCACUCUGUCACCCAGGCUGCAGCACAGUGGCACGGUCACGGCUUACUGCAGCCUCGACCUCCUGGGUUCAGGUGAUCCUCCCACCUCAACCUCCUGAGUAGCUAGGACUGUAGGUGCCCACCACCGCAUCCAACUAAUUUUUGUUUUUUUUUUGUUUUUGAGAUGGAGUCUUGCUCUGUCCCCCAGGCUAGAGUGCAGUGGUGCGGUCUUGGCUCACUGCAACCUUUGCCUCCCGGAUUCAAGUGAUUCUCCUACCUCAGCCUCCUGAGUAGCUGGGAUUACAGGUGCAUGCCACCAUGCCUGGCUAAUUUUUGUAUUUUUAGCAGAGAUGGAGUUUCACCGUGUUGGUCAGGGUGAUCUUGAACUCCUGACUUUGUGGUCCACCCGCCUCAGCCUCCCAAAGUGUUGGGAUUACAGGUGUGAGCCAUAGCACCUGGCCAAUUUUUGUAUUUUUUGUAAAGAUGGAGUUUCACCAUGCUGCCCAGGUUGGUCUCGGACUUGUUGGCUCAAGCAAUCGGCCCUCCUUGGCCUCCCAAAGUGCUAGGAUUACAGGCGUUAGCCGCUGUGCCUGGCCGAUCCUUAGGUUUUUAAAUGUUCAGGCACUAUAAUGAGUUAUUUCUCUGCUUUGUCUGUAUAUUGUCUUACUGCAUGCUGUGGAUUUAGUCAGUUCAGUAAAUGUGUAUUACUUAGAUGUCAAAGAAAGGAUAUAUGGCUACAUAUGUCAGUUUUAUAUAUAACAGAAGUCAUACUGUAUUAAUUGGCAUUCUGUCCUGCUAACCAAGUGCUCGGUGUAAGACAUCAUUAAAAACAAAACAAAACAAAAGAAAAAAUCUGGGGGUUGGAGGGCCAGGGGAGGGAUAACAUUAGGAGAAAUACCUAACGUAGAUGACAGGUUGAUGGGUGCAGCAAACCACCAUGGCACGUGUAUACCUAUGUAACAAACCUGCACGUUUUGCACAUGUAUCCCAGAACUUAAAGUAUAAUAAUAAUAAAAAAAUGGGAGUAAAAGGCUUAUGGAGCUAUAAAACGAACAAACAAAACCCCAAAUCUAAACUUUUCUUGAGGACUAUUCUCACUGAAUAGUAACUUAAGUACACACUCAUUAGUUAGGUAAGUUAGUGCUGUUAAUGCAUUUGAUCAUGGAAUUAAGGGGAGGGUAAGGAGUAUCAGUGAAGCUUUAAAGUUUUAGUUGGUUCCAGCAGUACUGGAGAGGAACUGGAAAGCAGACUCAGGGAACCAUCAUAGAAUGAAAUCACUUUUAAUGGACUCAGCGCAAAGUCACAGGCAAAUCCACACGUGAAAGUGAGGAAAAGGACUGUUCAUUUUUGUUUUCAUAAGGUAGUCAUCACCUUGCUACUGCUUAUAUGUUAGAAAUCCUUAGUGUGAUUAUUAUGUAUCUCAAUGGACUGGAUGUUUGUUCUUUGGAUGACCAAAAUGUCAGAACUUGUUAAGAGAAUUAAAGUUUUGGGUUAUGUUAUUCUGA
rnacentral:lncRNA from 1 species